rfam:Thecamonas trahens ATCC 50062 unplaced genomic scaffold supercont1.35, whole genome shotgun sequence.
GAUCCGAUAACUCAGUUGGAAGAGUGUCAGCUUAACACGCUGAAUGUCGGGGGAUCGAAACCCUCUCGGAUCU